GAGCUAUGAUGAUGAUGAUGAUGAUGAUGAUGAUGAUGAUGUUGAUGAUGAUUAUUGUCAUUAUUAUUAUUAUCGUUGUCAUUAUUAUUACUAUUA
rnacentral:miRNA from 1 species